UACGAAGGGGGCUAGCGUUGUUCGGAAUCACUGGGCGUAAAGGGCGCGUAGGCGGCUUUAUAAGUCGGGGGUGAAAGCCUGUGGCUCAACCACAGAAUUGCCUUCGAUACUGUAGAGCUUGAGACCGGAAGAGGUAAGUGGAACUGCGAGUGUAGAGGUGAAAUUCGUAGAUAUCGGGAGGAACACCAGUGGCGAAGGCGGCGACCUGGACCAAUAUUGACGCUGAGGUGCGAAAGCAUGGGGAGCAAACAGG
rnacentral:rRNA from 1 species